UACAGGGGGGGCAAGCGUUGUUCGGAAUUACUGGGCGUAAAGGGCUCGUAGGCGGCCAACUAAGUCACACGUGAAAUCCCCAGGCUUAACCUGGGAACUGCGUGUGAUACUGGAUGGCUUGAAUUCGGGAGAGGGAUGCAGAAUUCCAGGUGUAGCGGUGAAAUGCGUAGAUAUCUGGAGGAAUACCGGUGGCGAAGGCGGCAUCCUGGACCGACAUUGACGCUGAGGAGCGAAAGCGUGGGGAGCGAACAGG
rnacentral:rRNA from 1 species